rnacentral:lncRNA from 1 species
ACUGGGUAGGCGGACAUGACCCACCCACCAAUUAUUCAGUCCGGAGGUUCAAGUCCAGCACCGAACUCUGCGUCACCCUACUGCUGUGUGGUCGUCAGAAGGCAGUGAAGGGUCCAAGUUCCGAUUCAACUUCUUCCGAGGGUUCUGGCGCAGGAAGCAGUACUCCUUCGACAACAAAGUCUAGUAGUGUCCCUGAACCAACACCUCCCGACGGCGGUGAAGAUGGUGCAGCAGCUCCCCCUACCCGCGCCAUGAGCUGGACCAAGUCUCUCUUGUUGUCUGCCACACGAACCAAGAAGAACAAGAAGAACAAGAACAAGAAGUAGACUGAUAUGUUCAGUAUAAGCCGAUGAAAUGAAACUGUCUUCUCUGUAGCUUUGUUAGUUUUGGGCUGUGUGUAUGUCUGUCUGUAUGGACAGGAGUAUGGACGGGGAAGUAAAUAUUAAAGUAUACCUGUAGAAGGAAAUUAACUGCGACAGGUAAGGAGUCUCUCAAACGUAAACAAAAUUAGAGGAUUACUUUAGUUGUUUAGUUUUUCUUGUAUUGUUUUCCUUGUUUAGUUUUGUCUGUCUGUAGAAGCUUUGGAACGUAAAAUCUUUCUUGGUUAAUUUUGUAUUAGAAAAUUAACCAAAUGUGUGUUAGCUCUCGGCGUCGUAAACAUGGAAGAAAAUUUAUCAUUCUUCUCGAUAGUCAGUUAAAAGGGUGAAUCUGUCGCGGUUUUGGUAUUAUUUUUUAUUGAAAUAUUUAUACAGAAGCCAUUAGGACCUAAAACCUACGCCGUUGGUCUUGUUAACGCAGAAGAACAUUUAUAGAAUUGACGUCCUACCUUGAUGGUCAGCUGAAGAAGUGAUCAGUCAUUGGUAGUCGUGGAAAUUUUUAUUUUUUUCCUAUAAACGAAGAAAUUUUUACUGUGGUCGUGAGGUAAGUGUGUUUCUGUGUAUGUCGAGGAGGAUUACGUAAGUUUCCCGAGAGGCCAGCGAGUGACCCUUGCUGUAGUGAAGAUGUAGGCGUGAAGAGGAGAGAAUUACGAAAGUUUCCUGAGAGACCAGCGAGUGACCCUUGCUGUAGUGAAGAGGAGAGAAUUACGCAAGUUUCCCGGAAGGCCAGCUAGUGACCCUUGCUGUAGUGAAGAAGUAGGCGUGAAGAGAAGAUUACAUAAGUUUCCUGAGAGACCAGCUAGUAAACCUUGCUGUAGUGAAGAUGUAGGCCUGAAGAGUCCAAGACAUGGGAACCAUUAGUAAUCUUGUCAUAACUCGUCCAAAACUUAUGAUGCAGCACAGGAAACAAUUAACCCUCGAUCAUGUUAACCAAAAAAUCAAAACAAUAUAUCCCAAGGUUAAUCAAAACACAAAUGACAAAAACAAACGUAUGUGCCAUGGUCUUGGUACUUUCUUGACAUCAGCCCCUUGUUUGUAAUGUCCUGUUCGAGGUACUUUUAUAAAUAUCGGAGUGCAAUUGAAUACAGGGACAGCGAGAUCGUUUGUGAAAGAUUGAUCUGGCGAACACACUUCAAGCCAGUCGCCAGGUUUGCAUAUAUUGUGCUGUGAGUCCCGUCUGUCCAUGUAGCUGUUAGAUUAUUUCCCCAACAAGAAACAGGAAGAGUUACAUUGACUAUCUGCCACUCACUGAGACAGCCUCUACCUUGUCCUGUUUUUGAAAUCAGGUCAGAGUUCAAGGUCACAGCAUUGAAUGAGUAAUCACCGGCCGUGUUGACGUGGGAGUUACCUUGUGCCAGACUAGACUGUAAGGACAUCACACAGUCUUCCAGUUAUCCAGACAGUCUAAAUUGUGCUUAUCUCUUUGAGUUGUACGACACAGAGAUGAACUACGUAAAUCAGCCGGCCAGACACACACACACUAAUAGUCAUUUACCCACAGCUUUUGUAGUAACCAUUAGUGAAAGCUAAAUCAGACUGUACUCUCAAGUCGUACAGUCUUCUCCAAAUCAUCUUGUAGCUAUCACUGGUCUAUCAGAAACAAUGGAGAGAAUAGUGUAGAUUUAAAUCAACCCUUAAUUAAUAAAACAAGGCAAAUGCAAAGCAAAAAAUUUCUUCUAUGAUAAAAUUUCCCACUCCUUAAAUGGUUACUUAACGCAUCUUCCAUUUCGAUAAAACCUUGAUGCUAAUGCGGGCUUUUCUCUUGAACGCUUGCCUUUGUUGUCUUGGGUGAAGUGACGUAGGUAAAUGCGUUUUCAGGUAACUAACUAAGGGAGAAAUUGAUCGUACGAGUGUUGGUGAAUCUUGGUCGUUAAGUUCCUGAUGAUUUAAGGGAAGAUCUACAUUUAUUUGGCCUCCCUUUAAGAGUGUAGACCUGUGAAUAGAUGACGAGCUUAUCUCACGAGGACGGUGUGUUCCUCUCUCUCCACACUGAGAGCUUUUUACAGUUCAGGACCUAGACUUAAUUCCGAAGCUGGUAGAUGUUGCCUCGCCCCCUCCUCCUCACCACCCCAACCUUUUCCCGUCCUUCCACCAUACUCUCACCCUCCACUCAACACUACCUCCAGACCAACGCAACUUGAGAAUCAAAAAGUUUCCGUCAUAUAUUAUAUCCGUCGAUAGUCGUGCGUACGUCGCCUUUCUUCUUUAGGACUAUUCGGUCAUGAAGGUUUAUGUUACACUGGCAUCCGUCAAAAAUCGUACAAGACAUUCAAUCAUGGUAUAUAAAAGCCCUAUGUUGAAUUGGUAUCCGUCAGAGAUCGUACGUCGCUUUUCUAAUUACAUUGACAACGGUUCCAAAAAUGGCUAAUGAUGUAAUAUACGUAAAAAAUCGUACGUCCCUUUUGUGUAUAGGCAGGGAACACCUAACUCAAACAUAGGAAUUUAGAAGAGUUUAUCGAAGGGGUAAAUAUAUUAGUAGAUAAAAAAAGAAAAAUUAUUGGAACUUGUACGUAACUUUGGUAGCUGACCGGGCCUGACACUCCCAUAUUUAUUUUCCAGUCAGUUGAGGUUGUGUCAAAGAGAUAAAGGGGGGGUUAUUGUGUGUGUGAACCGCACCAUUCAAAACGCUUGAGUCUGGACCGGUUGAGUAAUAAAUUAGAUAAAAUAAGAUUAUGAACUGUUUAUACUGAAUUCUGUGGUUUGUUUGGCUUGUGAGAGGAACACAGUGUAUGUUUUCCUAAGUGGGGAGGUGAAGAUACUGCAGGGGAGGUGAAGAUACUGCAGGGGAGGUUAAAAUGGUGGUUAGUUUAGAAAGAUGUGUGAAAUUUACACCUGGGAAGCAGACGUCAUCUCCAGGUGGAUUUAACCACUAGGAAGGCAAAUUUUAUUAUAUACAUUUAUAAAAGGACUUCAAAACCUUGUCAGAAAACUAUAUUCAAAUUUAUUAUAUACUGUUCAGCGUAUUUUCGAAGUUUCAGGUGUACAGUGAUAAGAAUUUUUUGACAGGUUUUGAAUAGCAAUUAAAGUUACUGUAUAAUGUUAAAUACUCUAUAAAAUUAGUGAAAAUUUUUAAUCUCAUACUUAUCAUGACUACUGAGAUCCAUAUAUGUAUAGUGUCCCAUGUGUGUGUGUAAAUACGUCCUUUAUAAUUAUAUGCUAAUAAUGUCCAGGACGAGGACAACUUCUCUUAUAUUAACUAGCAUAAACUCUUGAGACAUUCCGGUGAUUUUCUUAGCUAAUAUGUAUAUAUAUAUACCGUAUAUAUAACUUCACAUCCAUAGUGAUUGAUCUCUCUCUCUCUCUUCUUCUACAUCAGCCUUGGCUUUCGUUUUCCAGAGACAAAGAGAAAGAGAGAGACAUGUUUGUUUUCUCUGUCCUGUAUAGAGUCUGGACAUAAUUGCUGCUUAACUUUGUAACCAGAGUGGAGGAGACGAGCCUUGAUCUGUUUUAAUUAUUUUUUUUUAUUAACCCCUCCCCCCCGCUCCGUAUAUAAUACCACUGGUCUUCAUAGCCAUCCAGUCAUUACUCGUAUUAAUACAAAAACUCAUUGAAAACAAAAAAUCAAAUCUUUAAAUAUUUGAACUUGUGUUAAAUUUAAUUGAUCCUUCGUGUUUAGUUCGGCCUUAACGAACUAGAGAGAAUAGUGAUAGACGUGGAUGUUGAAAGUUGACUUAAGCUUGAGCGUUCGAAGUUGGCAUCAGCUUGUGCGUUUGAGUUGUCGUGAAUCCUGCGUCUACAUUAGCGUCCAUUACCAACUCACUCUGGUAGGUUUUUGCGUCCGUAUGUGGGACCUGCUCAGACCGUAGUGUGGGUGACUGAGAGACCGAGGUUAGAUAGUGACUGGUGAGAUGGAUAGAUUGGCCGAGAUGAGAUAGUGGCCUGGGUGAGAUAGAUAUGGUAAGUCUCUGGACACUAUAUUUAGCCAGAGAGCCUCGCAAAGUGCAACACUGUUUUAUAUAUGUAAAGUAAUUAUAUCAUGGCUGUGUAGACCCCUGGUGCCCGACAUGAAUUAAGUGUUCAGGACCCGUUUGUGGCCUCAUUACCCCCUAGUCCUGCCUGGCUCGUUACUUCUGGUGGGUACUUUGUGUCCAGAAAGUGUCAAAUAAGUUACUUAAGAAGUCGAAGAAGUAAUUGCUGAAUACACGUUCUUCAUUCGAGUACAGUAUAGAAACUCGUGUAUGGUAGCCGGUUGUGUUUGUAUCGAGUUAAAAGGUUUUCAUACCACUCUUGGUGUCUUGGUUAAGUGAGCUGUACUUAAAAACUUGCUAUUUUUUUAAUGACAAACCUUUUCUUUGCAUUUUUAUUAACCUGUGAAUCACUUGGCAAAUAAACAUUACAUUAAAUUA